UACCAGCACCCCGAGUGGUCGGGACGAUUAUUGGGCCUAAAGCAUCCGUAGCCGGUUCUGCAAGUCCUCCGUUAAAUCCAGCUGCUUAACAGAUGGGCUGCGGAGGAUACUAUAAGACUAGGAGGCAGGAGAGGCAAGCGGUACUCAGUGGGUAGGGGUAAAAUCCGUUGAUCCAUUGAAGACCACCAGUGGCGUAGGCGGCUUGCCAGAAUGCGCUCGACGGUGAGGGAUGAAAGCUGGGGGAGCAAACCGG
rnacentral:rRNA from 1 species